GUUGUCGUGGUCGAAUGGUUAAGGCGAUGGACUAGAAAUCUUUUGGGAUCUUCCCGCGCAGGUUCGAAUCCUGCCGACAUCG
rnacentral:tRNA from 1 species